GAUGAACGCUGGCGGCGUGCCUAAUACAUGCAAGUCGAACGCUUUGUCUUUAAUUGAUAUGAAGAGCUUGCUCUGAUUUGAUUUUAUCUGACAAAGAGUGGCGAACGGGUGAGUAACACGUGGGUAACCUACCUCUUAGCAGGGGAUAACAUUUGGAAACAAGUGCUAAUACCGUAUAACACUAACAACCGCAUGGUUUUUAGUUGAAAGAUGGUUCUGCUAUCACUAAGAGAUGGACCCGCGGUGCAUUAGCUAGUUGGUAAGGUAAUGGCUUACCAAGGCGAUGAUGCGUAGCCGAGUUGAGAGACUGAUCGGCCACAAUGGGACUGAGACACGGCCCAUACUCCUACGGGAGGCAGCAGUAGGGAAUCUUCCACAAUGGGCGCAAGCCUGAUGGAGCAACGCCGCGUGUGUGAUGAAGGGUUUCGGCUCGUAAAACACUGUUAUAAGAGAAGAACGACAUUGAGAGUAACUGUUCAGUGUGUGACGGUAUCUUAUCAGAAAGGAACGGCUAAAUACGUG
rnacentral:rRNA from 1 species